AUUGAACGCUGGCGGCAUGCCUUACACAUGCAAGUCGAACGGCAGCACGGGGCAACCUGGUGGCGAGUGGCGAACGGGUGAGUAAUGCAUCGGAACGUACCUUUCAGUGGGGGAUAACGUAGCGAAAGUUACGCUAAUACCGCAUAUUCUGUGAGCAGGAAAGCAGGGGAUCGCAAGACCUUGCGCUGAUAGAGCGGCCGAUGUCAGAUUAGCUAGUUGGUGAGGUAAAGGCUCGCCAAGGCGACGAUCUGUAGCGGGUCUGAGGGGAUGAUCCGCCACACUGGAACUGAGACACGGUCCAGACUCCUACGGGAGGCAGCAGUGGGGAAUUUUGGACAAUGGGGGCAACCCUGAUCCAGCCAUGCCGCGUGAGUGAAGAAGGCCUUCGGGUUGUAAAGCUCUUUCGGCCGGGAAGAAAUCGCACGGGCUAAUACCCUGUGUGGAUGACGGUACCGGAAUAAGAAGCACCGGCUAACUACGUGCCAGCAGCCGCGGUAACAC
rnacentral:rRNA from 1 species